ACUGGGCGUAAAGGACAUGCAGGCGGUUAUACAAGUAGGAUGUGAAAGCCUGGGGCUCAACCUCAGAACUGCAUUCUAAACUGUGUGACUAGAGUACUGCAAGGGGAGACGGAAUUUCAGGUGUAGCGGUGGAAUGCGUAGAUAUCUGAAAGAACACCAAAGGCGAAGGCAGUCUCCUGGGCAAAUACUGACGCUCAUAUGCGAAAGCGUGGGUAGCAAACAGGAUUAGAUACCCUGGGUAGUCCACGGCCGUAAACGAUGUCAAUUAGGAGCUUGAGCAAUAGUUUGGGUUCCGAAGCAAACGCAAUAAAUUGACCGCCUGGGGAGUACGGCCGCAAGAUUAAAACUCAAAUGAAUUGACGGGGGCCCGCACAAGCGGUGGAGCAUGUGGUUUAAUUCGACGCAACGCGAAGAACCUUACCUGAUCUUGACAUAGCAAGAACCUCUCUGAAGGGAGAGGGUGCCUUCGGGAAUUUGCAUACAGGUGCUGCAUGGCUGUCGUCAGCUCGUGUCGUGAGAUGUUGGGUUAAGUCCCGCAACGAGCGCAACCCUUGUCCUUUGUUGCCAGCGAUUAGGUCGGGCACUCAGAGGAGACUGCCAGUGACAAACUGGAGGAAGGCAGGGAUGACGUCAAGUCAUCAUGGCCCUUACGGUCAGGGCUACACACGUGCUACAAUGGGGCGUACAGAGGGAAACGAUACCGCGAGGUGGAGUGGAACCCACAAAGCGUCCCUAAGUUCGGAUUGGAGUCUGCAACUCGACUCCAUGAAGUCGGAAUCGCUAGUAAUCGCAAAUCAGAAUGUUGCGGUGAAUACGUUCCC
rnacentral:rRNA from 1 species